rnacentral:tRNA from 1 species
GGACGGGUGGCCGAGUGGUCUAUGGCUACUGUCUAGAAAACAGUCGGGUGGAAGCCCCGUGGGUUCGAAUCCCACCCCGUCCG